rnacentral:tRNA from 3 species
GCUCGCGUAGCUCAGUUGGAUAGAGCAACUGCCUUCUAAGCAGUGGGUCGUGGGUUCGAAUCCCGCCGUGAGUA